rnacentral:misc_RNA from 1 species
AGGGAUCAUUAACACGUUUAUACAACGUUUUCAACCAACAAAAGAAAUCAUGGUGGGGGGCAAGUGCCUGCUACUGCAGUCACAUGCACCAACACCUAGUGCACUCCCUACUCCUCUAGCACUUGUGCUGGUGGUGGUAGGCUCUUUCUUGUUUUCACCCCUUUCCAAUUGGUAGCCUAGCUACCUUGUCCCCUAGUCUUAUGUUGUGUAUGUGUAUUGUAUACAUGUCACUUAUAUUAUUUCAAUAUAAAGCACAACUCUUAGCAACGGAUAUCUAGGUUCUC